CGUUCUAAAGGAUAGCCUGGAACAGCGGAUCCUGAAAACUCCACCUCCCCAGUGUCAGAGUCACAAGCAUGAUCCACCACGAUAGAUUCCACUGGCCAUACGGUUUAUACACAGAGGGAAAGUUGAGCAGAGAUGAGGCCUACAGUUUGAGAGUGGAGAGGUGAGCGGCAAGCUUCCUGCUUAAAAGAGGGGUGAACUGACCCAGCUCCUCCCUCCUUUUCUCAAGUGUCUUCUGCAGCAAUGUGGCUGGACUUACAUGAAGAAUUAAGGGGUGAAAAGUCUAUGCCCAUCUCACUCUGCUGCUUUCAAUACUGCCAUAGUAGAAGUUCAUGUUGGAAUCAUAAAGAAUUGGACAGAAAGGAUAUGACAAGAUUGUCACACGACUCUAUAUCAUCAUAAGGAUGAUGACUCUGACAUGUGGAGCUGGGUGUCACUAAAAAGCAGACACUGACUAAAAAUAGUUGCUGUGGUCAGUCAUGUGAGACCACAAAGCGGAAGAAGUCUAAUCUUGAUCCACAUGUGUGUUAUAUUUUAAAGAAAUGUCCUAGUGCCCAUUUAUUUACAGCAACAAGUUU